UUGGUUUUAUUUAUCUUAUCUGAAUAUCUGCUGUCACGCAUAACAUUCAUUAUUUGACCGUAUUUCAAAGAUAAACAAAAUCCAGUUACAACUCCGAACCGCUAGAUGGCAGAGUACACAAACACGAGGCCAAAUCUCACGAGAAAGAUUUCCGCUGUUUGAAAAGCAACAACAUCAGCGAGCAGCCACGAGGAAAGCAUGUACCACACUUGUUUGGUCUUGUGUCAAAGCUCUGCGAAACUGGAGGGAGAAACUUGAGAGACCAUGCCGGAAGAAUGCUGGACAGAGUUCACUAAAAUUCAUUAAUUUCAAAUUUCAACAUUAAUGGUGGUGGUCCACUGCAGAAGCAAGCAUUUGAAAAAAACAUCACUUCUCAGUUAUUAAAGAUGCUGUGUUGAACAACUUCCCAGCAGCAACAGAACUGGAAGUGAAGGAUGCAAUGGGGGCAUUUCAAACAGGCACCAGGGAGCACGGGGGGGGGGGUAUAGAAAUUAGUACAAUUAAUAAGUUGACGUGAACUGAAGAUAGUUUGUUAAUGUUUAGAUGUAAUUUCAUUUUUAAAAUUGUAUUUUGUUAUAUAUGCUUUUAUUUUGUUACUGUUUUUAUUAAUUUUGUCUUAUCUGAAUUUCUAUUGUAUUAACAAUAUUUUUUGUAAUAAAUUGCAUGUUUAUGAGAACCUUUUUAAUGGAUUAAAAAGAAUUCUUUAACCAUUCUUUUGUUCUUUAUUAGACACACACGUGUAGUCGUUUAAUAGCCGUCUAUUUAACGGCUAGUCUAUUCUUGGGCUAUGAUAGACGUCUACUAGAUUUUCACUGACAGCCCAAAAUUAGCCUUGUUUUAGCCUAGACCCACAUUCACCGUCUAUUAGACGUAUAUAUGUAGACGUUUAAUAGCCGUCUAUUUGAUGACUAGUCUAUUUCUUGGGCUAUGAUAGACGUCUACUAGAUUUUCACUGACAGCCCAAAAUUAGCCUUGUUUUAGCCUAGACGUCAGGGGGGUGUUUAGACGGCUACUAGACGUCUAUUAGCCGCAAAAUUGCUUGC